AGAGUUUGAUCCUGGCUCAGGAUGAACGCUAGCGGCAGGCUUAACACAUGCAAGUCGAGGGGUAAGUCCCGACUUGUCGGGAACACGACCGGCGAACGGGUGAGUAACGCGUAUGUAACUUGCCCCUAACUGGGGGAUAGCCAGGAGAAAUCCUGAUUAAUACUCCAUAAUAUCAUAGGAUCGCAUGUUCUUAUGAUUAAAGCUCCGGCGGUUAGAGAUAGGCAUGCGUACCAUUAGCUUGUUGGUGAGGUAACUGCUCACCAAGGCAACGAUGGUUAGGGGGUCUGAGAGGAUGAUCCCCCACACUGGUACUGAGACACGGACCAGACUCCUACGGGAGGCAGCAGUGAGGAAUAUUGGGCAAUGGACGAAAGUCUGACCCAGCCAUGCCGCGUGCAGGAUGACGGCCCUAUGGGUUGUAAACUGCUUUUGUACAGGAAGAAUAGUCCCGAUGUAUCGGGAUUUGACUGUACUGUACGAAUAAGCAUCGGCUAACUCCGUGCCAGCAGCCGCGGUAAUACAGAGGAUGCAAGCGUUAUCCGGAUUUAUUGGGUUUAAAGGGUGCGUAGGCGGGAAUGUAAGUCAGUGGUGAAAUCUUUCGGCUUAACCGGGAAACUGCCAUCGAUACUGCUUUCCUUGAGUGCAGUUGAGGUGGGCGGAAUGUGUAAUGUAGCGGUGAAAUGCUUAGAUAUUACACAGAACACCUAUUGCGUAGGCAGCUCACUAAACUGUAACUGACGCUGAGGCACGAAAGCGUGGGGAGCGAACAGGAUUAGAUACCCUGGUAGUCCACGCCGUAAACUAUGAUCACUCGCUGUUGGCGAUACACUGUCAGCGGCUGAGCAAAAGCAUUAAGUGAUCCACCUGGGGAGUACGACCGCAAGGUUGAAACUCAAAGGAAUUGACGGGGGCCCGCACAAGCGGUGGAACAUGUGGUUUAAUUCGAUGAUACGCGAGGAACCUUACCUGGGCUUAAAUGUAGAGCGACAUUCACUGAAAAGUGAAUUUCCUUCGGGACGAUCUGCAAGGUGCUGCAUGGUUGUCGUCAGCUCGUGCCGUGAGGUGUCGGGUUAAGUCCCAUAACGAGCGCAACCCUCAUCGUUAGUUGCCAUCGGAUAUUGCCGGGGACUCUAACGAAACUGCCGGUGUAAACCGUGAGGAAGGUGGGGAUGACGUCAAAUCAGCACGGCCCUUAUGUCCAGGGCUACACACGUGUUACAAUGGCCAGUACAAAGGGCAGCUACCUGGUGACAGGAUGCAAAUCUCUAAAACUGGUCACAGUUCGGAUUGAAGUCUGCAACUCGACUUCAUGAAGCUGGAAUCGCUAGUAAUCGCGCAUCAGCCACGGCGCGGUGAAUACGUUCCCGGGCCUUGUACACACCGCCCGUCAAGCCAUGGAAGCCGGGGGUACCUGAAGUCUGUAACCUAAAAGAGCGGCCUAAGGUAAACCCAGUGACUGGGGCUAAGUCGUAACAAGGUAACC
rnacentral:rRNA from 1 species